rnacentral:rRNA from 1 species
GACGAACGCUGGCGGCGUGCUUAACACAUGCAAGUCGAACGGACAGGCCCUGCUUUUGUUUGGUGCUCGAUUGGCGAACGGGUGAGUAACACGUGAGUAACCUGCCCUUGACUUUGGGAUAACUUCAGGAAACUGGGGCUCAUACCGGAUAUGAGCUCCUGCUCCAUGGUGUGGGUUGGUAAGUUUCGGCGGUAGGGGCUGGUCUCGCGGCUUAUCAGCUUGAUGGUCGGGUAGGGGCUGACCAAGGCUUUGACGGGUAGGCGGCCUGAGAGGGUUACCGGCGACAUUGGGCCUGAGAUACGGCGCAGACGCGUACGGGAGGCAGCAGGGGGGAAUAUUGCAGAAUGGGCGGAAGCCAGAUGCAGAAACGCCGCGUGCGGGAUGCCGGCCUUCGGGUUGUAAACAGAUUUGGCCUGUGACGAAGCGUGAGUGACGGUAAUGGGUAAAGAAGCACCGGCUAACUACGUG